CGGUAGCGGUGCGAGUAAAGUGGCGAACGGGUGAGCAACACGUAGGUGACCUGCCCCGAAGCGGGGGACAACCAGUAGAAAUGCUGGCUAAUACCCCAUAAGCUCACGCGCGUUAGAGAGGCGUGAGAAAAGUUCCGGCGCUUCGGGAGGGGCCUGCGGCCCAUCAGCUAGUUGGUAAGGUAAAAGCUUACCAAGGCGAAGACGGGUAGGGGGCCUGAGAGGGUGGUCCCCCACACGGGCACUGAGACACGGGCCCG
rnacentral:rRNA from 1 species